UCAUUAUACGAACGGGCUCCAUGGCAUAGCUAUCUGGGGUAUCACCGCUCACAACAGGGCAAGCACCGGCUUUCGUGUCUUCGCAAAAAAAAAAUAAAUAAAAAAAAAUCCAGGCUCCUCCAAUGCACAGUGGCGAGAUUGGUCUCGUCACAUCACCCUAUAUAACUAUACUCUUAUUGCUUAGCAACCAUAAUUUCCUGUGUUGUAUGGCUAAUUUAGGCCUUGAGUUGGUCUUUUUAUAGAC